rnacentral:lncRNA from 1 species
AUGGCCACCUACCUUAUUUUAGAUGGAGAAAAAAAGCAAUCCACUAACACACUACAGUCUCUUGCUCCUGGGGAUCCCACAUGUUCUUUUAUGACUCAAACUUCCAGUUCACCUGCCGGCCUGCACAGGAAGCCAGAGAGUUUUAAUCCAGACCCCCAGCAUGCCCCCACGGCCUCCCUGACCAUCGAGCGCUCCAUCAGCAAUUGUGGAGAUUUAGAAAACUUGGCAUGGCAAGCACUCCAGUGUGACCGUGUGGCCUCCUCCAUUGUGAGCUCCAUAGGCGGUGGUGGUGCUUUAGAAACCUUGGCAGAGCAAGCCCCCCAGCGUGACCUCGUAUCUGCAGCCUCCACCAAGUGCUCCACCGGCAGUGAAAAUUUAGAAACUUUGGCUCAGCCAGCCCUCCCGCAUAACCUCACGGCUGCCUCCUCCACCCAGAUCACCACCCAGGGCACCCUGGCUCAACAACCAGUACAGGAAGCCAGCAUCCUCCAAGCUGGGCAGCCCGAGGCUGUGUUGGCCCAGCCAACAAGAGGCUGGAGCUGCUGCAGGGCUGCCAGAAGAUGCAUUGCCAUAAUAAGGAGAUGCUGCUGUGCCCACCCAAGAGAAAGAGUAAGAGGGCCCACCCAAGAGAAAAAAUUGGAGAGGAUGAAGGCCCUGAGGUCCAGGAACAUUGAAACCUGAGACGCCCAGGAGCAACAUUGGAGCCUGCAGCACUUUAUAUAAAAAAAUAUAAAAAUAAAUUUAUCAUUCUGAUAAAUGACCAUUUCUUGCUUCUUGCAAAUCUUGUAGUAGCAUUGGAAAGGUGGCAGGUGGGUUGCAGACACUCUGCUGCUUUGUGCCCUCCCUGCACAGGACCGGGGCUAAGAAAAGGGCAAGGCAUGAGGCAAAGGAAAAGGCAGAUUUACUAGCAUCUGCCUUAGUCAAAAGAAAAGUGGGGACAAUGAAAGGAUGGAGGAGGACAUGGAAGAGAGCAAGAAAAAAAUAUACCUAAACCAGAGUCUAAAACCUGGCCUAGACUGGAGAAUGGUCUAUAAAGAUCAUGCGGUUUACCCCCAUGCAAUACCUAGUGGUGGGAUAUGAUCCAAACUGGUGGGUCACUGUCUUACACUACUACUAUUGUGACUCUAGGAGUAUCAGGUAAAAAUGAACAAAAAAAAAUCCUUUUGCCAAUCAAAAUAUGUCACUGGAAGGCAAGAGGUGUGGCACAAGUUCUUAUAUCUUCCCAGCUGCCCUGUUCCUUUGUUGGGGAGGAAUCUGCUCCAAAAACUACAAGUACAAAUUUCUUUUAAGCCUAAAGAUAACAAGACUUUAGAUUUUAAGUAACCAAAGACUAUGGUAUUAGCCUUCACAGUGGCAAUUAUUUGCUAGGGAUAUUUCUUACACAAGAAAUCAUCCCUCGCUUCGGCCUACCUGCCACCAUCCUGUUGGACAAUGGUCUAGCAUUUACUGCCCAAGUAGUCCAGCUCUUUGCCGAGUCCCUCAACAUCUAGAUGCUACACAUCCCUUACCAUCCUCAGUCAUCGGGUAAAGUUGAACAGGCCAACGGCAUCCUCAAAGACCAUUUGGCCAAACUUGCUAUUGAGGUAAAACUCUCUUGGCCCACACUCCUACCUCUUGCCCUGGCCCAUAUCCGGGCCACCCCACGGGGGCCAACAGGCUCAGCCCCUUUGAAUUGUUGUACGGCCAGCCUUUCCUGGUUUCCCAUAAUCUCCCCACGUGACCACCACCACUGGCCUCCUACC